GCCCGCUUGGCUCAGUGGUAGAGCGUAUCACUAGUAUUCCGCUAUGAUAAGGUCGUCAGUUCAAUUCUGACAGUGGGCA
rnacentral:tRNA from 1 species